UACAGAGGGUGCAAGCGUUGUUCGGAAUUAUUGGGCGUAAAGCGCGUGUAGGCGGCUUUGCAAGUCGGGUGUGAAAGCCCUCGGCUCAACCGAGGAAGUGCGCCCGAAACUGCAGAGCUUGAGUACCGGAGAGGAUGGCGGAAUUCCCCAAGUAGAGGUGAAAUUCGUAGAUAUCGGGAGGAACACCAGUGGCGAAGGCGGCGAUCUGGGAAGAUACUGACGCUGAGGUGCGAAAGCGUGGGGAGCAAACAGG
rnacentral:rRNA from 1 species